GAAACAGUUCACUAGUAGAGCAUGUGCCUUGCAUGCAAAUGGUUCCAAGUUCAAUCCUUGGCAUCUCCA